rnacentral:lncRNA from 1 species
UUGCGAAACAUCAGUAUUAUUUUAGCACCAUAGACCUCGUAAAUAUAGGAAUCAUUCCCGAAAGCCCAUAUACCAUGGCCUUAAUCAUCAUUUUCGUAUAAGUCCUCAGUAGUUUAUCUAGCAGUCAGCUCCAGCCUACACAUCCUCUACAUAGGGGACCGAUGCAAAUAAGUGAAUGAUCCAGAAAAACAAAAAAAUUAAAGAAAGCAAAAAGGCAACUCCGGUAUAGGUGACCCUCAAAAAGUCAUUUA